GCCUUGUUUGCGUUAGUAGGUAGGGCGUGUCAGUCUCAUAAUCUGAAGGUUGUGAGUUCAAUCCUCACACAGGGCA